ensembl:ncRNA C55A6.17 ncRNA
CAGUUUGAACCCAUCCUGGACAGAAGUUGACCACCAAAAUAUGAUCAUCUUUCAGAUCAAUUGCCAAUGUUCUACCAAACAUAUUAACUGCAGCCUUGCUCAUUCUGUA